rnacentral:rRNA from 1 species
UACGUAGGGUGCGAGCGUUAAUCGGAAUUACUGGGCGUAAAGCGUGCGCAGGCGGCUUUGCAAGACAGAUGUGAAAUCCCCGGGCUUAACCUGGGAACUGCAUUUGUGACUGCAUGGCUGGAGUGCGGCAGAGGGGGAUGGAAUUCCGCGUGUAGCAGUGAAAUGCGUAGAUAUGCGGAGGAACACCGAUGGCGAAGGCAGCCCCCUGGGUCAACACUGACGCUCAUGCACGAAAGCGUGGGGAGCAAACAGG